rnacentral:tRNA from 1 species
UAAAUGAAAGCCAAAUAGAGGCGCCUAGCUGUUAAUUAGGAGACUGUAAGAUAUUACUCAUUUAG